rnacentral:lncRNA from 1 species
AUGGUCAUUCAGCAUGUGGCUGCAAUGGAAUUAGAAGAUACAAGCAAACCUGAUGAACAAGCAAACAGUGCUGAACAAGAAAAUUUGAACCUCAGAAUGAAAAAGCUGGAGAAAUUGGAGCAAGAACUGAAAGGUGUUUUACAAGACUACAUGGAUUCAGAUUCCAUGCUAAGAAAUAGGAUGAAAGAGCUGGAGCUGUCACACAAAACCCUUCUUGUGAUGAUUGAUCAGCUAAAUGUGAAGGUGCACCAGGUUGAAAAUGCAAAUGUGCGUGUUAAAGGGAAAGUGCGAGUCAUUUGGGAGGAGCUGAUGAACUUGGUUGAAAACCAAGAAAAGUCAGAGAAAAAGCAAAAGGAAAAAUUACAUUGGCUUCAGGAGCAGCUGAAGACAAAAGAAGAUGAAGUAAAAAGCCAGUCAGAAUAUUUUGAGCAUUAUAAGCAAAAGCAGAAGCGACAAACAACAAUACAGAGAGAAAGGGAAUGUUACCUGCGGGGAGAGGUGUCCAGGCUGGAAAAGCAAGUGUUAGAUCUCAAUGCCCAUAUUGCUUGUUUGACUUCUGAGUUAGAAGAGGGAAUGGCACAGUGUCUCCAACAGAAGGUGGAAUCAGCAUCCACUGGGACUCAGGGCUAUAAACUUUCUGAAAUGGAAGUAAUGGAAUUGAAAACUUGCAUUGAAAACAUGGAGCAUGUCAUGAAAAGCCAUGUUGAGUCUUUUCAGCAAAAUCUAAAGUUCUUAAAGGAAAAAGGGGAGGACAACAGAAGAGAAAAGGCAGACCUGCUGACUGAACUCCAGUGCUCCCAGGACACUGAAGAUUUUCUCAGGAGAAAAUUGGAAGAAUCUUGCAAUUAUGUUUAUAAUCUGAAAUUGUCUGAAAUCAAACUACAGAAACAAGUGGAAGACCUUUUAGAUGAAAACAGGAUUUUAAAAGAUCGAAGUCAGGUGAAGUUAAAAAAGAAGGAAGAAAAGGACCCACAAUUUAUGAGAUUGGAAAAUGGAGACAGUAGUGCUGACCUGAAUGACGACCUAGUCCAGGAUGAUGUUCAAAAUCUGAAAUGGGGAGUACUAUCAGAUACACUGAAAAGCAGAGCUACACAAACUCCAGUUGUACUGCUACAUGCCAAAGAGUACGAAACGCCAGGAUGUAGCUUUGAUGGGCUAAAGCAGAUAGAGAAGAUACGGGAAGAAAUUCUACCAGUUUUGGAACAAAAUUCUGGACCCUUUGCAAACAUUACUGAAGAACUUGGCUUAUCUGAGAUCAAACUGGUCACCCUUGGGACAAAAAAGCCAGGAGGUCUAGAGGAUAGUUUCACUUUGUUUAGACAUACCCCAAGCUAUCCUGCAGCAAGACUGCUUCCACCUUGUUCUGAGAAGUUAACUAUUGAUGAGAUAUGUAAGGAAACCAAAGAUGAAGAAUGGUUUUCUCUCAUGAAGGAACAAGCUAUUAAUCUACCAGCAAAGAUGUUCCCUGUUUCUGUGGUUGAAACUUUGAUGAGGGACAAGCCCUACCUUAUCUUGUUAAAACCUGAAAGCUACCACAUAGCAGCUGUCACAAUGGUGAAGAAAACGAGGAGCUUGGAUUUCAGUGAGGCAAAUACCACUUUUUGCUCUGAUGGCCUUUAUGUUGUUGCAGAACAAGGUUUUUCUGAAAAAGCUUCUGUAGUUCUUCAUGGAAAUCCACCUUGCUUUGUGAACGACAAUUUCACAUUCUUUCUAGAAAAAUGCUGUUUGGAAAAACAUCAGCAAAACAAACAAAUUCUACCCAAAAAUAAAUGUAAAAAUAAAAGUCUGGAUAAAGGUGUUAAUGAUAUAAAGUAUCACCAAAGAAUCUUUAUAAGGAGAGUUAAAGAAGAAGAAAUACAGACUGAGAAAGCCCAAGCACAACAAGUUACCUGUGUUUUUGAGGAAAAUUCUGAAGUUAUAAAUAAAACUAUGUUGAUUUGGCCUGGGAAGCUUGUAAUGGACACUAAAGACAAACCAGGUAGCCCAGAAGGUGUCCACAAUAUAUCUGUAGAUUUUAAAGACUUACAGAAUCAUUUCAAUGGGAGUCUUGAACUAAAGAAGAAACAAGAAACCCUCUCAGUAACCUGCAUCUCUGAUGUGACCAGGACAUGCAAUAGAGGAGACAUAAUGGAAACGGAAGAGAAAGGAGAGAAACCUCAGAAAACAACUCACCAAAUAAAGUCGUCCAGGAAUGUUGGACUGAAAGAAAAGAAAGACCAGUCCAUGAAAUUACAUAAAUCAAAAGAGAAGAAUUUCUCAUGUCAAAAGAUGUCUGCUGAAAAUGUGCAAUAUGCAUAUCUUCAGAAAAGUUUUUGGUCACAGGAAGAGAGUUAUCUGCUAAAAAUACUGUCUCCUAUGCAAAAGAGUUUGCUUAUGUGUGUAAGCAAACAGUUCCUGCCAGAAAGCAAUUUUUAUGAGUAUUUCUGUCAUCUGUCACCACUGGAAGCGGUUAAUGAGCAUAAUGUGAAAAUAUAUACAUUGAAAAAAGCAGUGGCUGUGUGUUCUCAGAGAAUAUUUCUACUGAUGCAAGAGAAUGAAAAUUACUCAAAAAAGGUCAGUUUAUUACAAGACGAGAAUGAGAGAUACGUUCAGAAGAUGUGUGCACUAGAAGAGGAGAUGAAUGCGUAUUUUCAAUAUGCUUUAGAAGUAGAUGAAGCUAACAUUGCUUCUUUUCAAAAUUUACUUAAUGAGAAUGAAGUUGCUGACAUAUACAACAUAAGUAACAAUAUAUCAGAAGAAAACAGGAUGAGCCCAAGAACAAUUUUUGCCAAAAACUUCUCUAAGAAUCUCUCUUAUGUUGAAGAUAAAAAUAGGAAUUCUGACAAAGAUUCCUUGAGAGUUAAAUCAAAUCACCUUCCCAAGAGUGUUUUAUCCCUUGGUGAAAGGAAAAUGAGGUAUUUACAGCUGCUUUUAGACUUGAAAGAAGAAAGAAGUAGGUGCUUCAUAGAAAUAGCUAAAUUAUUACAAGACAAUGAGAACUAUGUAGUGAAAUAUAAUGAAUUAAUACAAGAGAGAGAGAGAAACUUGCACAGAAUAUCUCUUUUAGAAGAUGAAAAAGAAACUUUAUUGAGAAGUUUGGCAGAAGUAAAAUGUGAACAAGACAAAUACCAAGCCUUGGUUUCAGAACUUCAAGAGUGCAAAACCAGCUAUUAUCAAACUAUUUCUGAUUUACAGGAGGAAAAAUGUGUGCUAAAAAGAACUAUAGACAGAAUCAAGAAAGAAACUGCAGAACAAUUUAAUGAAUUUCAAAAAGCAAAUGCAAACCUUAUUUUAGAAAACAACAAAUUAAAAGAAUUAGUGUCUUCUUUGGGUUUCACCUAUGAAGAUCUGAGAAAAGAAAAAUGCUUGGGAACAAAGGAAAAUGUAGUAAACCUAAAAGAAGAAAACAGAAGUAAACAACGUGAUCUUAAUCCAAAGAAAAUCGAAACAUCAUGUAGUAUAACUCAGACUGAAGAAGAAGGAGUAGACCCCUCCAGCUAUUUCCCCAGCAAAGAGGACAGCACAUUUGAAAGCUACAGUAUGAUGAAAGAGCAAGUGGAAAAGGCAAAAGAGGAACUAAAAAUAAAGCAAAAGGAAUUGGAAAAAUCAAAAAUAGAGGUAACCUCCCACUCUGAUGUAAUUCUCAGGAGAAAAUUUGUUUUAUAUUUUGUUUUCUUACAUGGAUGUUCUUUCUACAAGUGUUUAAUGCUUUUACAAAACGGGGAAGUCUCUGAUCUGCAGAACUGA